GGAGUGCAGCGGCCCCGUAGAAGAAGAAAAAAAACAUUCUUCCAAGAAUCUGGAUGUUUUUUUCUUGUUCGUGCAGUGGUUCUUUGUAGUGCUGGUGUUGACGGGCCCAUUUGUAAUUCCUUCGAUAUAAGGGGAAAAAAUCCUCAAAACAUCUAAAACAAGCCAGAAAACCGUGGUGUCUUUUUCUGCAGGGAAGAAACGUGGAGAUAUUUUUACAGCGUUCUAGGAUCCGGGAGCAUACAGACAUAAUUCAAAGCUGUUGUCGAUUGAGUUGAUCGAAAGCAAAAAAAGAAAACUCGGCCAGAUAAAUUAAUGAGCUCACCACCAUUUGUUUGGUUUAAACUAUUUUUGCAGCUAGCCAACAAUCGGCCGUUGCCAUCUGCUAAAAAAAACAAAUCAACUGUUGCAUCAGAGAUCAUCAGACCACGAGUAUUUAACCAAAAACUACCACAUUUGCCGGAAACGUGACGGAAAACUACCACUCUACGUUUUUGUACGAAAAACUACCAAAUUUUUCCUAAACCGUGACAAAAAAACUACCAACUCGCGAAAAUGCUCGCUUCGCCCGCGCUAACCCCGUUUCUGACCGGUUGGGCCCGUGAACAGUUGCCACGCGGGAUAACGGGCGGCCGGCGCGCGUUGACGGCCGUUAACGGCGCGUCCGCUGUCGGAACAGCGGCUGUCGGUCGGCUGAUAAGUGAGCGAGCGAGCUCAGCCACUCACUUAUUCUCUUCCUCCUCGCUCGCUCUCACUCAUCCUCAUCCUCUCCCCUCUCCCUGGUGCUGUGAGCUAGGUUAGCCUAUCGCUGUCGCCCCGCGGCCAUUGCUGUCGGUAGAAGUUGAGGAUGCCAUCCUGGAAUGACGAGGAGAGCUCGGACGAGGACAUCAACAUGGUUUCAAUGGAUCCUCAGCUCUUUGUAAGUGCAUAAUGGUGGAACAGAGUUAGGGUUAGGGUUAGUUCAUCCAAGUUGGAGAUUCCAAGUUGCUUUUGGUUUGAUUCGAAGUUUCUUUUGCAGGAAACCCCUGACACUGUGGUGGAACCAUUUUUCUGUGGUUCUUACACUGAAUCUGAGCCGACGUGCAUGAUGCAUCAUCAGAGGCCGAAGAAGAUGGUGGCUUUUGAAGGUGCUUUGACUGGGAGGCGAUUCCUGGGUUGUCCUGUGCAGCAGGUAUUAAAUCUUGAACGCUAACUUGUUUUGCUGGUGGAGAUGUGUGAUGUGUUUUGCUGCUGGAGAUGUGUGGUGCAGCAUGUGGUGCAGAGAUGUGUGAUGUGUACAGAUGUGUGUUGUAGUUUAGAACUGAAACUUGAAAGUGCCAUACAAUGGAAGCUAUAUGUGAAAAUAGAUCUUUAGUUAACUGAAUUCAAUACAUGACUGAACCUGAGAACACCUACAUGCAGAGAUCUUUAGUGUACUGUGAACUGAAUAUAUUAGUUAGGUGUUUACUGAAUAUAGUUGUUAACUAAAAGAACAGAGUUAAAUGAAUUUAUAUUUACUGCUUAAUAUAGCUAUUAACUGAAUUUAUCUCUGAUGCCAAGUCAGGUGUUGUGUGCUUACUAUGAAAGAAUUAUGUUUGCAUAAUUCAGAGAGCAUAUUGAUGUAGGUGUGAACUUUGGUUAUCUGUACUUAGUUUGUUACUAAGUGAUUUGUGCUUAAUUAUAAAUAAUUGCUUCUGUAGGAUGUAGGUGUGAACUGUGGGGUUGUGGAGUGGGUGGAUGGUCCUUGGCCAGAGAUUCUACAAAGGUGCCUAACAAGGAUUUGGGACAUGUACCAUGAGCAGAACUUGGGGAGGGUGAAGGACAAACAAGCCCAUGAGAAAGAGGUGGCCAGGCUACAGAAGGAAAUUGAUUUCCUGUCAAACAACUACAGCCAGUUGGUGGAAGAUGUAUCCAAGCUUUUUGACUAUCAAGAUGGCAAGAUGUCUCAUGACAUGGACUAUACCAGUCAGGCAAUCAAUGAUCUAAAUGCAAAGAAGAAACAACUUGAGGAUCAAGCAAAGAUUGAGAUAAGUAUGAAAAAGAUGAAGCUUGCCAAGGAGAAAAGGUGCAUUCUUCAAAGCCAAGCAGAUAUCAUUCAGAACAUGAGGAAGGCCAUGAAGGAAGUGGAGGGGGACAGGGACCUACUUAAGAAAGAGAAGAAGAAGCUAGAGUAUCUGAUUGCUGAUAUGGUCAAUGCUGGGCAUGCCAGCAAAGAUAAGCUGGAGAGGAUCAAGGCAAUUAUGAAUGAGUGAAGUGCUUGGUGUGUGGGUUAAGUAAUUAGUAGGCCUAUAUAUAUAGCUGGCAUUGGAAUGUCAUGCAUGUUAGGUGUAUAUUUUGGGAAAGUUUUAUGUGCUUUCAGAAUGGUAUGAGGGAGGGAGGUACUCUUAUGGUUUAAGAACUAGUUGGUUUUAUCUAUGAUGUAAUGACUUUUAUGUUAAGACCUACUAUGCUAAGUGAGUACUCAUGCUAAGUUAAUUAAGUAAGAAUGUUUUAUCUAUGAUGAGUCUGUUUUACUCUGCAUAUAUCAUGUGUGGAUAACUGACAGUAGUGACAUAGUUGGAAGUAGAAAGCAGCAAGUAACAUAUAUAGCAAGUAGCUUAGAUAGUCUGACAAAUAACUUAACAUAUGUAGCAAGUAGCAACUAACAUAUAUAGAUAAUCUGACAUAGAUAGAUAGUACUACCAUUCAUAGUCUGACAUAGAUAGCAACUAGUAGUAGAUAGUGCCUGACAUAGAUAGCAAGUAGAUAGUGCUGACGAAACUGAACCUAGGAACUUACUGAACUUACGAAAGUUCAGGACUGAAGAAACUGAAUCUUUUUGCACUGAACUAACUGAAGGCAGCACUUCACUCCUCCUUCUUCAGCAUCUUCAGGCGCUGGGAGCGACGCACUGCAGUCACGGCCGCCCUCUUCUUCUUGCCCGGCACCGGCUCCACCACAUCUUCCUCGCCGCCAUCUUGUUCUUGCUUUACCACGACGCCGUCUGGGAGAUCGACCUCUGGCAGCACAUCCACGUGGAUUGGGAGGUUCCUGUCCCCCUCCACGGCGUCGAGGACGGGAGCCAGCAGCUGCACUUCAGGCUCGUCAUCGGAGAGGACGAUGACCUCAUCCACCUCGUCGUCACAUUCGUCAGAUGACUCCUCCUCAUCAUAUUCACUGGACUCGUCGUCAGAGAACUCGUCGUCUGACGACUCGCUGUCAGAGUCGUCAGAGGGCCCAAGGACCCAUGGAUUGCGCCUCUCCCAGUAGGCGUUGUUGAUUGGGGCUGGGAGCGCAAGGACGGCGUCGGUGACGUGGUCCGUGGCGGCCGGCGGCGUGGUGGAUGAGCGGUACAUCCACCAUCGGGCGCGUUGCCUGGGGUCGGGGGAGUGCUGCACCUCGCGCAUCGCCCACAGCAGAAGGGACGGCGGCGGGAUGGUGCGGCCGGCAGGGAAGGCACGCUGCUUUUCAGCAGCUGUCAUCACCUUCACGAGGCCGCGGGCGUGGUUCCUCAUCAUCGCUAGACUGGGGAACCAGCGCGCGAUCUUCCUGUACUGCGCGCGCAUCUCCUGGUUGUUGCCGGCGAGAGCUUCGAUGGCCGGCUGCCAGUCCAUGGCGACGGCGGUGGCAGUGGUUGUAGGCGGCGAUUUCGACAGGAGAGAGGGGGAAGCGGAGUGGGCGGUGCGAGCGGCGAGUGGGCGAGUGAGCAGAGAGCGUGGUGGGUGGACACGUAAUAAAUUCGUAGAAUCCGAAACGGCUGGGUUUACUCAACGCACGCUCACCACGAUGGCGGCUGCAACGCACGCUGAACAGACGACGUGGUGGGCAACAUAUAAUAAGUUUGGCCGAUGCUAGUCAAACAAAUGACUAGCACUAGCCCAUUGGUAUUGAACGCAUGAUUACAACCAACUGGUCCUGGGUUCGAGCCCCAGGCUAGACAUUUUUUUGUGCAUAUUUUUUUUAAAAAAUGAAUUUGGCAGUCACUUCUGAACUAUAGAAACGGCAAAGUAAAACAAAAAAGAAAUUAAAACAAUUAAAACAUGCACCUAAACUGCACAAAUGGCAAAGUAAAACAAAUAAAACAAAACACUAGCACUUAACCCAUUGGUAUUGGGCACAAAUAAGUAGCAACCAUACAUUCAACAUUGCACACAAGUUCACAUGUCUGAAUUUAAGCAGUCUAAUAGCAGAGCACAAACUUAGUACCAUACAAUCAAACUAAGUAGCAGAACACAAACUUAGUAACAGAGUUUCAAUGGUUUCCACUAGCACUAAAAUAUAGUGCAAACUUGCUAGGGGGUUUCCUCUUCCUCUUGCCUGCUAAUAUCCCUGGUUCUGCAGUGGAUGCUCUUGGUGCAUUGAAUGUUCUUGUUGAUGCUGAUCCUCUUGGAGCUCUUGUUGAUGCUGAUCCUGGUGGAGGUGCUGGUGAAGACCUGGCUGCUCCUGCAGAAACAGUUGAUGCUGAAGCUCUCUUAUCUGAUGCUAUUUUUCUGUUCCUCACUGCUUUAGGAGGUGGAGCAGAUGAGGCUGGCAUCUGUGAAGUUUGGUGUUGAUGUGGUGGUUCUGGAGGUGGGUGACUAGCACUAGAGGAACCCCUAAAAAUUUCUCUAUUCUCCUGCAUGACAGAAUUAAGAUAGUUAGUACAUAGAGCAGACCUAAAAUAAUUAAACAACUAUUAACUAAACAAAGAAUGCAACAUUUUUGAAUGACCUGGUGUAAGUUCUUUCUCAUCUGAAGACUUGGGUUUAGAGCUUUCCCACAGUAAGUAAAUCUAUGGCCCUGUAGACCACAAUUGCUGCAUGUAAUUGUUCCCAUCCUGCUUGUGUCUUUUGGUGCAGGCACCUCAAACUGGCCCUUUCUCCUGGCUGUUUGUUUCUUUCCUGUUUUUUCUUUGAACACUGGUGGCUCAAUAUCCUGAGUAUGGGUGUCAGGACAGAAUUUAGGACCAGGGACAGGGUACACUAUGUCUUUGUAUGCUUCAAUAUAUAGUGAUUUUUUGAAAAAUUCAUGCACAUAGUCCUCUGGGUGCAUGUGAAUCUUGCUCAUUGCUGCUAUUGCAUGACUGCAUGUCACACCUGUCAUGUCCGACCUCCUGCAGUCACAUGAGUUAGUAGCUAGGUUGACACAGUACUGAUUUUCCUUACUAGACACUUGCCAAAUGUCAGGACCAGCCUUAUGUGCCUCACAAAAUUUGGCAUACUUCUUAUUCUCCUCUAGUUUCUCUGAAUAGUUGGGUGUGAUCAUCCACCUGUUGUUCUCUGUUUUUUCCCUGGUCUUCUGCUUUUUGAUCAUCUGCUUAGUCCUUAUGUGACGUCCGGAUAAUUAAGCUACAGUAAACCCAUGUUAAUGGUGCCAUGUCAUCACUCUUACUAUUACUAAUCCCCCUUUGCAUUCAAACACAGUUCAAAUUCCAAAUUCAAAUUAAAGUCAAAAUUUAAAAUUCUCAAACAUGCAAACUAAAAUGUGCAAAGUGUGGCAAAUAUUGCAUAACUAAUUAUGGCCGUGAACCAACAUCUUUGCGAAGUGGUUUAAUGCCCUUAACUAAUUAAAACAGGGGCUAAAAGCAAUUAUUAAAUGCCUUUAAUAAUAAAGCAAAUACAAAUCUAUUUUAUUAUAGUGUUAAACUUUUGUGGCAGUGGCCUAAUUAUUACUACUAAUUUAGAUGCUAAAAAUUAUGUUUUACAAAACUAAAAUAAGUAAAUAAAAUGAAACUAAAAGGAAAAUAGAAAUGUAAUUAAAAAAAGACAAGAGAUCCAAAAGGUUAAAUAAAUAAGAGAAGCCCCUGGGCCUCGGCCCAGCUCAGCCAGCUGGCCCACCUAGCCCCCACCGGUCGCCUACUCCCCAUGUUCCCCUGGCGUGGUCGCAACAGGAGCGACGCCCCGCCGAACCACCUCGUCGGCGUCGGCGAGGGGAUAAGGCAGGCGCCCUGCCCCUCUCGGCCUUGUCAGCUCCACUUUCCCUGCGCAGAUAUUUUUCCCACGCCCCCUCUCUCCCUCGUCACUCCCUCGCGGUCCAGAUCCACCUCGUAGUGCGCCCGCGUCGCCGGCCAUCUUGUCCUACUGCGGCUACCAUGCCCUCCCCCCACACCGCCUAGGACCGCGUCCGUCCGCUUCGUCGUCUUUCGCUGCAUCAACUGGUGCCACCCGUUGGAGCUCCUCACGCUGCAGCGCCGGAUCGAAGCUUCUUCCUCCUCGGGUCGCCGACGAACCACGACGACGCCGGCCACCUCUGCUGCUCCUAAGCCACUCGAUGGGCCUCCUUGCGCCUGCUCGGUGAGCACCACCUCGUUCCCCCUUUCCCUCGUCGCCGUAGUCGCCGUAGCACCGUUACCCGCGAGCUUCGGCUCCGCAGUCCGCCGUGGCCGGAGCUCUCCUCCCGCACGCGCUCGCACACCGUCCGCCCCUGCGUCCACGCUGAAGUACGCGCCCUGCAGCGCCUCUUCCGCGGCCCGUCUCUGACGCCCCGUGCCCGCCCACUGUUGCCUACUGCCGCUGCGUUGUGGUCGGCGCCGGAGCCGUGGCCGCGCUCACCCCGUGCCACUGCUCGCGCCGCGGCCGUCCACGCCUCGCGUCCGUCCCACCUUGCGCCCAGCAUGCGCGGCCGUGUGCAUGCCGCUUGCUUCGCUGCUCCCGCGCCGCUCCUCGCUGACCAGCGCCGUGGCCGGCCUCUGCCGUGCUCACGCGCAUGUGCACCCGUCUGCCCGCUGUCUUUUGUGCACGCCUGCACUGCUCCCUGCUAGCUCCGCUGUUGUUGCUGAUUUGCUGAUGCUGCUGCCACUUCCCGCGCCGGCGUACGCCUCCGCCCGCCUGCGUGUGUGCCCCGUCGUAGGCUCGUAGCCAGGCCACGCCCACGCGCGGCUGCCGCCGCUUGUCACCAUGCAACGCCGCGCCCCGCGCCCAGCUCGUAUGCAUGCCGCUGCUGCUCUACUGAAUCUACUAUUGCUACUACCUACUGUAGCUAUUACUAGUAAGCUUUUCUAUUUCUACACUGACUAGCCCUCUAAACAGCCCCUAAACUGUGGCUAAACACUGUUAACAGGAGCAAGAAUAAUAUUUCUAGGUAGUACACUUGUCAAAGCUCAAAUGUUUUCAUUGGACCAAAUCAAUUUGAUGCAUGGAUCAAUUCCUAUAAAAAUCACAAAAUGCUAUCUUUUCUAAAUAGAGAACAGAAUUAACCCCUAGCACUAUGUAUGCAUGUGUUGUGUGUACAGCGCGCGUGUGUGUAGUGCAUGUGUGGUGUGUGUGUGCGCGCGCGCGAGCGCGCGUGCGUGAGUGUGUGUGGUGUGUGUGGCCAGCUGUGCCACAGCCGUGUGUGGCCGGUCCUGCUAGUUAGGAGUAGUUUAAUUAGUAGGAGUAGUAGUUAAUUAGUCUAAUAGUAGAUGACAUGUGGAUCCCCACUUCUAAAUUAACUAGUUAAAUAAACCUAUUAAAAUACUAGUCAAUGAUAGGUGGACCCCCUCUAAUUAUCCGCUUAAAAGAAAAUGUUGAAUAUGUGUCAAUGACGCCUGGGCCCGAUCUGCAGUUUUGACCAAUCAACAGUCAAAUAAUUGACUGUUGACUAGAGUGUUGACUGAGUCAACUGGACCCUUUGGUCCCACCUGUCAUUCACUAUGGCUAGCUCACGAUGGGUAUAGAAAGUAUAUCCUGUUUUUAUUUUCGAAUUAUAAUAAAUUCAGAAUUAAAAAAUCAUUUAAAGCUUAAUUUAAUAUAAAGUAAACUGUACCUCAGAUGAAAAAACUUUGUACAUGAAAGUUGCUCAGAACGACGAGACGAAUCCGGAUACGCAGUAUGUUCGUCCGUCACAUAUCCCUAACAUAGCGAACACACGACUUUCCCUCUCCGGUUCAUCUGCCCGAAAACGCGAAACACCGGGAAUACUUUCCCGGAUGUUUCCCCCCUUCGCCGGUAUCGUCUAUCCCUACGUUAGGUCACCCCUAGCACAACGUAUUGCCGCGUCUUGCUUUGUGUUACAUUUGAUUGCUCUGUUAUUUAUUGUGUUCCCCCUCCGUUACUCAUUUUUGGUAGACUCCGAGACCGCUGCCGAUGUCCGUGUGUUCGACUACAUCGAAGAUGACCCCUCCUUCUUGCCAGAGCAACCAGGCAAGCCCUCCCUUGAUCACCAGAUAUCGCCUACUCUCUUUCUACUGCUUGCAUUAGAGUAGCGUAGCAUGUUACUGCUUUCCGUUAAUCCUAUUCUGAUGCAUAGCCUGUCCUUGCUACUACUGUUGUUACCUUUACCUGCAAUCCCAAUGCUUAGUAUAGGAUGCUAGUGUUCCAUCAGUGGCCCUACACUCUUGUCUGUCUGCCAUGCUAUACUACUGGACCGUGAUCACUUCGGGAGGUGAUCACGGGCAUAUACUAUAUACUUUACACCGUUACAUUACCGGUGAUACUGUCUGGAGAUGGGGGCUGAAGGGGCAGGUGGCUCCAUCCAGGUAGUGGUGGGCCUGAGUUCCCGACGGCCCCCGACUGUUACUUUGUGGCGGAGCGGCAGGGCAGGUUGAGACCACCUAGGAGAGAGGUGGGCCUGGCCCUGAUCGGCGUUCGCGAAUACUUAAACACGCUUAACGAGAUCUUGGUAUUUGAUCUGAGUCUGGCCACUGGCUUAUAUGCACUAACCAUCUACGUGGGGACAGUUAUGGGCACUCGACGUCGUGGUAUCAGCCGAAGCCUUCGUGACGUCAGCGACUGAGUGGCGCGCGCCGGAUUGGACCGUAAGCCUGCUCUUGUAUUAAGGGGGCUAGUUUUGCUUCCGGUCGCGUACGCAACGUGCAGGUGUGCAAUGGGCGAUGGGCCCAGACCCUUGCGCCAUAGGAUUUAGACCGGCGUGCUGACCUUUCUGUUGUGCCUAGGUAGGGCUACGACGUGUUGAUCUUCCGAGGCCGGGCAUGACUCAGGAAAGUGUGUCCGGCCAAAUGGGAUCGAGCGUGUUGGGUUAUGUGGUGCACCCCUGCAGGGAAGUUAAUCUAUUCGAAUAACCGUGAUCUUCGGUAACAGGAUGACUUAGAGUUGUACCUUGACCUUAUGACAACUAGAACCGGAUACUUAAUAAAAUACAACCUUCAAAGUGCCAGAUACAACCGGUGGUCGCUCUCUCACAGGGCGACGAGGGGAGGAUCAUCGGUUAGGAUUAUGCUAUGCGAUGCUACUUGGAGGACUUCAGUCUACUCUCUUCUACAUGCUGCAAGAUGGAGGUGGCCAGAAGUGUAGUCUUCGACAGGAUUAGCUAUCCCCCUCUUAUUCUGGCUUUCUGCAGUUCAGUCCACCGAUAUGGUCCUUUACACUUUUACCCAUGCAUAUGUAGUGUAGCUCCUUGCUUGCGAGUACUUUGGAUGAGUACUCACGGUUGCUUUCUCCCUCUUUUCCCCCUAUCCCUUCUACCUGGUUUUCGCAACCAGAUGUUGGAGCCCAGGAGCCAGACGCCACCUUCGACGAUGACUCCUACUACACCGGAGGUGCCUACUACUACGUGCUGCCCGCUGACGACGAUCAGGAGUAGUUUAGGAGGAUCCCAGGCAGGAGGCAUGCGCUUCUUUCGAUCUGUAUCCCCGUUUGUGCUAGCCUUCUUAAGGCAAACUUGUUUAACUUAUGUCUGUACUCAGGUAUUGUUGCUUCCACUGACUCUUGUGCCUUCGAGCAUUUGUAUUCGAGCCUUCGAGGCCCCUGGCUUGUAAUAUAAAGCUUGUAUUAUUUUAAUUUGUGUCUAGAGUUGUGUUGUGAUAUCUUCCCGUGAGUUCCUGAUCUUGGUCGUACACAUUUGCGUGCAUGAUUAGUGUACGGUCAAAUCGGGGACGUCACACCUUAUUCCUUCAAACAUAGUUCUAAUUGGUUUGGCCCUAACAUCAAGGAUCAUUUUGUUGAAAACCUCACUAAGGUUGUUCACAACAAGAUCAGUUUUGCAAUUGUAAUCCAUUGAAGACCUACACCAAGUCUCCUUUUGAAUUUUUGUAAGCCACUUCCAGGCAUCCUCACACUCUACUUUAAGCUCUGCCAUUGCUAAUUCAUGGCCAUGUUUGGUGAAUGAGUAGCUAGCCUUAUCUACUAGCUUUUUUAGUUCUGCUCCUCUGAAACCAGCUGACUGAAAAUUUGCAUAGAUGUGCCUGAGGCAGUAUCUCUGAGGGGAAUCAGGGAACACCUCAUUUAUAGCCUUAAGAAGACCCUGAUUGUAAAUUAAUAACCAUGGUCAUGAACAAAAACAAAUAAAGCCAGUAAUAACUAUAUUUAUCUGAACUACUGGCUAAGAUAGGUUGCAUACCUUUUGCCUGUCAGAAAUAAUGGUGUAGGUUCCAAAUUUGCUUCCACUUCCAAUGCAACAUCUUAGCUGGGUUAAGAACCAUGUCCAACUUUCUGAAUCUUCCUUACCAACCACACCAAAGGCUAUGGGGUAGAUGUUGUUGUUGCCAUCUCUUCCUGUGGCUGCAAGAAUUUGCUGUCCAGUGGUUAGCUUGAUGAAGCAACCAUCAAGCCCUGCAUCCAUACCCAAAUUAGCUACCAAAAAAUUACAACAAGAUAUUUUGAACAAAAUGCAGUUAUAUAUUUACCUAUAAAGGGCCUGCAACCAUUAAAAAAUCCUUGCUUUGAUGCAUGCAAGCAGUAGAACAUGUACUUAAAUCUAGGAGUUGGGGCAGGGUUUUCUGGGUCCUCAAAUGUUGUAACUACACACCUGCUACCAGGGUUUGUGUCAAGAACUGCUUGUAGGUAGUCCCUCAGUCUAUAGUAGUGCUCCUUCUGGUCACCUUGUACAACCUUAAUAGCCUUCCUCCUUGCCCUAUAGGCCACACUCUUUGAUACAUCAACUGAAAACUUGACUUUGCUGUUUUUAAUUAGUGAAUCCACAGGUGCUCUAGGAUCUGCUCUAAGAGAAGGCUCAACUGCUUUGGAAAGCCACUUUGUAGUAACCUUUGUGUUCUCUGCUGAUGCUGGACAAGUGUGCUCCAUGUUACACUUCUUAAUGCAAAAUGUUCUUUCAUGAGCUAUCCUGGAGGCACACAUGUAAAAUUCACAUCCAUGCUCUCUCUGUGAACACCAAACAAUAAUUCUUGUUGGAGUGUUCCUGUGGUAGUGAAAAGACCUCAAAGUCCUUAUAUAAAAAUCUCUUAAUGCUUCUCUGAACUGGCAAACAGAAUCAAAACACAAGCUCUUGCACAAGAGUAAAUGUGAAUUGGGAAUUGAAGGGUCAAAAUAUACCCUUUCCUUCAUCUUUUUCUUACUACUCUUUGUCUUUGGCUUCUUCAUGAUGUAUGAUAGUUCAACUUCAUCUUCUUCUUCCUCAUCACUUAUGCCUGCAUCACCAGCAAAACAAAACUCAUCUGCUUCAGGAAACCAAUCUUCAAAACGUUUUUUCUCUACCUCAUUGUGACAUCUGCUAGUUGGCCCAGGGUUCUUCACAUGUUUCACAAUAGCAGUACUUUGCAAUGUUGUUUCCUCUUGAGAGGCACACUCUAUUUCCAUUUGUUGAAUAGCUUCAGCACUCCCAUCUGAAUGAACUGAAUCAGCAGAACAAAAUUCAGACACUUCAGUGUCUCCUUCAAAGUGGUUCAAAUCUGCCUCUCUUUGAAUCCUGCUCCGCUCAAGCUGAGCCUUUCUAUCAUCUAUCUCAUUCUGAAGCUCAGAUUGCUCCACAACCUUUUGCACACAGUAACUCUCUUGAGUGUUCAUGUAAUUCUGAAUAGCCUGUGUGCUUAUUCCAGGUUCAACAUCUCUCACAACCUUUAUGUUCACAACAUUAACAUAAUUAACAAACUCCAACAUUUCAUGAACACUAGCUUCAUUACCUAAAUACUUUACUCUUUCAGAUCCAAUUUCCUCCUCCUUCACAUAGUACAUGUAAUCACUCUGUCCAUACCCUUCACUAGCAAUGAGUGAUUGUAGAGUAACAAAAGAUAUAUCUGACUCAUAUAUACCCCUUUUCACAGGGUUUCUUCCUUCUAAAUGAAACCAUAUCUUUCACUUCUUGUCAGCAAAACUGCAGAAAUAGGUGCUCAUGAAUUGAAUUGAAAAUGAUAGAGCUACAAGUGCAAUACAGUUUACUACACAACAAUCUGUAACAAACACAUCUUACUAAUUUGCCAGAUUGAAGCAGCUAACCAAUUCAUGAGCAGCUAACCAAAUUGACAGAUUGAAGCAGCUAACCUAGCAGAUGAUAUUUCCAUACCUGCAACCCAUUGGCGAUGACUGGGCGAGCUGUGCCUCCUGCUGCUGCGAGCCGGCCUGCGUCGAGAAGCUGGUGCUCCCCAACCAAUUGUCGACUGAGCCCGCAGCGUCCAAACUUGUGCCGCCACCGCCAGCGUCGCCGCCGCCGCCGCCACCACCCAUAUCGCCGACGCCCCCCUCCGGAACCACCGCCGCCAUCGUCGUCGUCGCCGCCGCCACCUAGUUCAGAGAGAGGGAGAGGACGGAGAGAGUACAACGAGAGGGGAGAGGAUCAGAUCUUGACCCAUUGGCCGACCGACAGUCGCCGUUCCGACAGCGGACACGCCGUUAACAGCCGUCAACGUGCGCCGGCCGCCCGUUAGCCCGCGUGGCAACUGUUCGCGGGCCCAACCGGUCAGAAACGGGGUUAGCGCGGGCGAAGCGAGCGUUUUCGCGAGUUGGUAGUUUUUUGUCACGGUUUAGGAAAAAUUUGAUAGUUUUUCGCACAAAAAGUAGAGUGGUAGUUUUCCGUCACGUUUCCGGCAAAUGUGGUAGUUUUUGGUUAAAUACUCUCAGACCACAGAUCCCAAUAGUCUCGAGUUCUCGAGAUCUUUUCUUCUUCUUCUGAAAAGUGUUCGAGAUCAUUUUGCCACGCGAUA
rnacentral:lncRNA from 1 species